rnacentral:rRNA from 1 species
GGUAGCGUAAUCACUUGUUCUUUAAAUGAGGACUAGUAUGAAUGGCACCACGAGGGUUAGACUGUCUCCUUUUUUUAAUCAGUGAAACUAAUCUCCCCGUGAAAAAGCGGGGAUAAUUAUAUAAGACGAGAAGACCCUAUGGAGCUUUAAACAAACUAACAUCCGCUACCACUUAAUCUCUUUCAGAAUUACAACAAAAAAUAUAGCAAUUUGAUUACAAGUUUUCGAUUGGGGUGAUCACGGAGUAAAAAAUAACCUCCACGCCGAACGGACUAACCUCCUUAACAAGAAGCUACAACUUUAUGUACUAAUAUAUUAACGCCUUUGACCCAUUAUUUGAUCAACGAACCAAGUUACCCUAGGGAUAACAGCGCAAUCUACUUCGAGAGCCCCUAUCGACAAGUGGGUUUACGACCUCGAUGUUGGAUCAGGGUGUCC